UACGUAGGGUGCGAGCGUUAAUCGGAAUUACUGGGCGUAAAGAGCGCGUAGGCGGUUCGUUAUGUCUGCUGUGAAAGCCCCGGGCUUAACCCGGGAAUGGCAGUGGAAACUGGCGGGCUUGAGUGUGGCAGAGGGGGGUGGAAUUCCGCGUGUAGCAGUGAAAUGCGUAGAGAUGCGGAGGAACACCGAUGGCGAAGGCAGCCCCCUGGGCUAACACUGACGCUGAGGCACGAAAGCGUGGGGAGCAAACAGG
rnacentral:rRNA from 1 species